GCUUGUUAAUGGAAUAAGACAUUCUGAUGAUGCAAUUCUUAUUGGAAUUUGAGUGACAUUGUGUCCGGAAUUGGUGGGUUCUUGGUCUCACUGACUUCAAGAAUGAAGCCACAGAUCCUCGCGCUACUGUGCUGUGAAGUAGAAGCGACUGUGGAAAAUCCUUGUGGAAAGGCACGAGACACCUUGUGGUAUCUAAGGUACCAAGAUACCUGGCCAAUAGCCUCAGCUGAGCGCCACCUUGCCAGCCAUAAGGUGACUAUGAUAUCGAGAAAUGCAGGAGUUCAUCCAGGGGAUUGUGGAGUAAAAGGGGAGGACAUAAUGAGAGAGGACG